rnacentral:lncRNA from 1 species
UUUAUCGAAUACAAUAGAAGAUUAGUCUCCGAAUACAAUUCAUCAUAUUAGUCUCCGAAUUUAAAAUACCGAACAAAGUUUGAACAUUACAAGUCUCGAGACCGCGAGUAGCGAGUUUGUCUUCACAUUACAAGUCGGUAUCAAUCAUCUAAACUACCAUCACAUAGAAGAGAGAUACGGUCAUCACGAGAAAGACAGGCAAAAUUAUCUAAAGUACAACAUCAUCGACACCAAGCAUGUUACUGAAGCCGUGCGUGGAGAAUCACAUUCGCGUCCUUUGCCUGCUACCCCUGUCCUCGUCUUCUUCCACCUGUUGCGGAAAGGUGAGGAACAAAUUAUGCUCCGGCAGGAAUUUGUGCUAGUUCAAAUUAGCGUACGACACGAUGAAAUCACUUUGAAAGAAAAACUAACAUUGUGAAACAAAUGCAUAUUUUGGGAGAACCUCUACAAUAAAGAAAUCAUCUAAAGAGCUUUCAGAAAGAGAAAAGCAUAAUUACUGACCCCCCUUAGGCCACUACUACUUUAUGUGUUGGACAACAAAUCGUAC